CAGUUCUUUACCAGGAAUCCACCCUACUGACACAUGAGCAGUUCAUAAACUUUGCUCAGACAAGGAAAUCAUGCCAUGCAGAAACUGCAGAGAUCCAGAGUUCAGUGGAGAUGCCAUGGGAGCUGAACUCUGUUUGCAGGCCCACCUUAGGGUAGAUGCUGUCUGCAAGGGCCCUGCCUCCUCUUGGGUUAUCAUCUUCCUCUGCUUCCUGGCUGCAGACCAAAGAAAACCCCAGGCACAGGUAACAGCAGCCACCUUGGUCACUGCCCUUGGCCAGCAUCUGGUAGUUCUUGAGCCUUAGCACUAUUUGGUGGCUAUGGAACAUAAGCGAGUCCUCGAAUUGGGGGCAGAGUUUUCCAGAUAGUGACUACAGAAGAAGGGGAAACUCAGAAAAUUAUGAUGAUUUUCAUGCCAUUCUGAUUCUGUUGCACACAGCUUCAGUACAGUAAAAAUUAAAUUAAACAAGUGGCUUUUCACAGAAUAAUGUGGUACCCAGUCUUCUCUAGAAUAUAUUUUGGUACAAGUUAUUUGCUAAUAUGUGUAAGGGAAUCUGCCUUCAUGUCUAGCCACAAUUGCUUUAUUUUUUUCACUACAUAUCAAUGUGGCUAAACCAAAACUCAGUCCAAAUAAGAAAGAAAAUAUUAAGCAUUCUGCUCUGCCAUACUUAACUCUGCAAAUUUCUGAUUUUCUCAUUGUCAAAGGUUUUCCUUGUCAAUUAAAUGUCUAAUACUUCCACUAAGCAUGAUAUGAAGUGUAAAUAUUGUAAAUAUAAUUAGGACUUCUAUAGAUGCUUUUAAACAUGAGGUAUAAGAAACAGUCCUGGUUCCACUCAGUUAUGUUUUUCAGUCCUGUGAAUGAUAUCUAGCUGUUCUAUGAAUGCUGAUGAAACUGAAAUGCAUAGACAUACCAUAACUGCAAGCAUUUGGAUCAUCGUAUAAAACAAAUGUUCUCAGAAUCUCCAAGACUCACACUCCACAACGCUUGGCCUGUCUUUUAUAAAUACAGUGAACUCAAGGAAGAAUGUGUAAACUCUUCCUUCACACACCUUUGCCCUGAUUUUCUCCUUAGUAAAGGAAGAACCUCAGCUUAACCUUA
rnacentral:lncRNA from 1 species